rnacentral:rRNA from 1 species
GACGAACGCUGGCGGCGUGCCUAAUACAUGCAAGUAGGACGCAGUUGCGAACGGGUGAGUAACGCGUAGGUAACUGCCUAUUAGAGGGGGCUAACUAUUGGAAACGAUAGCUAAUACCGCCUACUAGUAGAUGGACCUGGGUUGUAUUAGGUAGUAGGUAGGGUAAUGGCCUACCUAGGUGACGGUACAUAGCCUGCCUGAGGAGGUGGUCGGCCCACACGGGACGGGAAACCGGCCCAAGCUCCUACGGGAGGCAGCCGUAGGGAAUCUUCGGCAAUUGGGCGAACCCUGACCGCGCAAAGCCGGGGGGGUGGAGAAGGGUUUCGGGUCGUAAAGCUCUGUUGUUAAGGAAGCGGUACUUAACCAGAAAGGGACGGCUAACUACGUGCCAGCAGCCGCGGUAAUUC